rnacentral:tRNA from 5 species
GGAGAGAUGGCAGAGUGGUAAUGCAGCAGAUUGCUAAUCUGUCGACCUUAGGGUCGCCAGGGUUCGAGUCCCUGUCUCUCCGCUA